CGCACCGCCUCUACCUUGCGCAUGCGCUCUAGCUCCAAAUCUUCGGGAAAAGUUUACAAACAAUGGCUGAGGAGCAACCUCCAGCAUGCGACGAAACGCCCGUCCCCCUUCUCCUAAUGCCAGCGAACACAACAGAGCCAGUUAAAGAGAAGGUUCCCGACAAGCAGCGAGCUGAAACGAAAGCGUUAGCCCGAGACAAAAACAGACUAAACAUUGGAGCUGUUUUUCACAGGUGGAAGCACGUACGGGAACAGAGAGGAUUCAAAACAGAUGCAGAGUUCGCCACAUUUCUGCUGGACAGGACAGAGAAAAUUACUUGUUUUCCACAUGAGUACAAAGGACAUGGUUCGACAUCAGAAGAGGAAACGGCAAAAGGGGAUGGUUGCUAUGAUGACAGCGAUGAUCAGGAUUACGUUCCCCCUGUACAUGUUCGUGCUGCCUGCCUGAGUGCUCCCAAGUCGGUCACCAAACAGGUCCCCGUGCAUGAUGCUGUAGAUGCAGAACAAACAGAACAGCCACCAGGAGCAGAAACAAUCCACGUUCAGAGAAACAAGCCUUACCAUCCGCUUGGAAAUCAACACAAGGAUCAGGAGCAAAAACCUGAAAACACCUGUUCAGCAGAUCAGUCUUCCCGGACACCAGGGGCUUCCUCCAGACCUCCAUCGUAUGAGCUGGAGCUCACUCCAUCUGUCUCACAUCACAACGUGCCAAAGAAAAUAAACCGGAAUGAGACGAACACUGAUGAAAAUCCCAGUGAAGACCACAGACCUGAAACACAGGAUCACAGCACGGCACCCACAGGAGAAACUCUCACUCUAGAACCUACCAGUGUACAGAGCAGCUCCCAGGAGCUUUGUAAACCAAAGAAGACGUACUACUGCCCGACCUGUGAAAGAGUGUUCCCCCGGCACAACGCCCUGAAACGACACCUCGUGAUUCACUCGGGAAAAAGACCUUUCAAAUGCUUCAUAUGUGGGAGAGGAUUCACCCAGGGUGGAAACCUCAAGACACACAUGAAAGUUCACAGAGGUGAGAGGAACCUCCCGCUGUGCUCAGGACACUUUAACCUGUUUCAGUUAGAUGUUUGUGGCAGUUGAAAAUCCUCUUUACUCAUCUUUUACCGAGCUGCACAAAGAACAGUUAAAAAAUGUAUGGACUGCUGAGUAGACUCGACUGGUAUCACGGUUUUGUUGAAUACCUGGGUGUUUAAGCAUUUUGAUGUUUUGAUGGUUUUCAGUACCUUCAAAAAUACAGCUGCUCCUCUUUCAAAUACUGAUGUUAAGGUGAUGCAUUUUGCACGGCUUGUGCCAGCAGAGGGCAGUCUCUACUGGUCGAACAAGCAUGAGCUGUGUAAAGAUUACAGUCAGUUUAAUUUUAAAAAAAUAGUGUUCACUCAUAAAUAGAAUAACAUCUUCCAAAAAAUUGAUGCACUCUCCUAAACUUAAAAAAAUCCAUUAAAAAUGCAUGAGAGCGGACGCCGAUUUGUAGAUGCCGCCAUGUUGCCCCACCAACUUGACUAUAGUGGGCGAGAUAGACAUCGCUGCUCCACCUAAUCUCAUUGUGGCUGUAUGUUGUUAGAGACCAACCACAUUUGUAUUAGGCCAACAGUCGGGGAGAAAAAAACUCAUAGGUGUCCUUUUAAUUGGUGUCUGCAACCGUUAGAUUCAAGAUAAAAAAGCAUCAUAACUUGCCGACGAGAACAACAACAAUUUUCCAAGAGAUAUGAUGAUGAGAACGAACUGUCUCUCUUGCCCAAUCCCUCGAGGCCACCUGCGUAGGCUGCGGACUGUUGAUCUUCGCCUAAUGGGCGAAAGGACACUUUCUCAGGCUGAACUGGUAUGCCAACAGCUGUGCACAUUGGCAUACCCCCCCAUGUUGCUUGUCUUGUGUUUUUAUGGUGUUACGAUGUGAUAUUUGUGCUUUUUAUGUGCUGGAGUUUUUGUCUUCUCCUCAUGCUGACUCCUUUUAAGGAUCAGUAUGAGCAGAAAUUCUUUUUUUUCUCCUGAUCUGACCUUUUGUUUUAUACAUUUCAUUGUUUUUCCUUUUGCUACCUAGCCUGACCUGUCUCCCUAGCGUGAAGUUGUAUAUUGUAAGUACGGUCGGCAAGGUUUGUUAUCUCAGUUGCAGGCAACUGCAACUGAGAUAACAAAUGCAUUAUCCAAUCCAAUCCAAUAACUGUGUUUUAUCAUCUGAGAAAGGGUGCCAAAGAAACAAAAACAUAAAGGAAAGAGAAAACAUGAUCAGCAUCUGGACAAAAUGUCAUCUUCUUCCUCCUCAACUCUGACCUCUAAGCCGUCAGCAGAAGUCAGGCCUUUUAACACAUGAAAAUAUCCGUGAACAUGCUUAUUUAUUCUCAAUAUUGUCACAAUUAAUUAUUGUCAGCAGAUUAAAUAUGUGAUCCUCCCGUCUCCAGACAGUGAACAACACUGAUAAACAGUUUGAUCACAAUCACUGAGCAUCAGAGUCCAACAAAGUCAAAGAAAGUUUCACUAAUCCUGGCUAACAGCAGCUAACAGAGGUUAACAGCCGCUAACAACAGCAGCAGCUUACCAACAGAAAAGUUCAGGAUAUCCAACAACUCGCCUAAGUAUUGCUAUCAUCGUAUAGAGGAGAGUUACCAAAGUGGACAUUAAUUGAAGAGAAGAGCGAGCCUAAAGCAUCUCCUGCUACAGUUCACAUGUGUGGGGAGUGUGGAAUGGACUUCCCUGAGAAACAUAAG